GGCGCGCAAUGAACGAGGUGACGUCGUCGGGCGGACAGGGCCCGGUCUCCGGGGCCGCCUGAGGUUGCCGAGAAUGGCGUUCAAUGAAGGCGGGCGGAUAAUCCGGGCCUAAAGAACUUUAAUUCUAACU
rnacentral:snoRNA from 1 species